ACAUCCAGAGAACUUAGCAGAGAUGCUUUGGUGCCUUCGGGAACUCUGAGACAGGUGCUGCAUGGCUGUCGUCAGCUCGUGUUGUGAAAUGUUGGGUUAAGUCCCGNAACGAGCGCAACCCUUAUCCUUUGUUGCCAGCGGUUCGGCCGGGAACUCAAAGGAGACUGCCGGUGAUAAACCGGAGGAAGGUGGGGAUGACGUCAAGUCAUCAUGGCCUUUACGGCCAGGGCUACACACGUGCUACAAUGGCGCAUACAAAGAGAAGCGACCUCGCGAGAGCAAGCGGACCUCAUAAAGUGCGUCGUAGUCCGGAUUGGAGUCUGCAACUCGACUCCAUGAAGUCGGAAUCGCUAGUAAUCGUAGAUCAGAAUGCUACGGUGAAUACGUUCCCGGGCCUUGUACACACCGCCCGUCACACCAUGGGAGUGGGUUGCAAAAGAAGUAGGUAGCUUAACCUUCGGGAGGGCGCUUACCACUUUGUGAUUCAUGACUGGGGUGAAGUCGUAACAAGGUAGGCGUAGCGAG
rnacentral:rRNA from 1 species